GUAGAUCAGUAGUGCAACGGGUUAGAGCACGCGCUCCCGCGGAUAGAGCGAGAUGCGGGUUCGAGUCCCGCCUGACGCG